rnacentral:lncRNA from 1 species
AAUCAUUAUUAUACCAAUAAUAUCACCUUUAACAGCUUGGAGCAAAGUGUCGUUCAAUGUCCUGUCCAGACUUACAAUCACCUUCUGUUGAUUAAUCACAAUCACCCUGUAGACUGUAGACUCCAUUGAGUAGCCGAGGAAAAUAUUCUUUGAGCUUCAAAUGCAAGACUUGCAAAGUGGCAUUUUCCUCCAAACACGUACCAAGUGUUAGUGUUUGCUUCUGAUUGGCCACUGGCAAGAAUGGUGUCUUUCUGGAUUUAUCAAUGAUCAGGGUUCUACUUGAUCAACCUUCAUUUGUGAUGUCUCAUCCUUCGAACACAUACGAACAACACGAAAGAAUCUAGAGUAGUCAAUGAUCAUCGCAAAAGAUAUCUGGCUUUGUUGCAGAUAUAACAUUAACUGAUCCGUAGAAAUCCAUACGUAUUAUCUGAAGCGGAUCAGUAAUGUUGAUCAUAUCUUUGUUUCUGUGCGAUGCUCCUUCGACUUCCCUAUUGACAUACCUCAUAAGUUUCAUCCAUAUUGAAUUCCAGAUGAGGUAGUCCUCUCACCAAUUCUCUUCUUACGAAUAGAAAGAGCUCCUUGUUUUGACAUACAAGUGCGAGAGCUUCAGAUGCCAUAGCUAACACUUAUCUCAUGAAGCUUUACUAUCGAAACAGCUCACUCCAUCUUCAAUUGAAGUUACAUAUUA